CCUACGGGUGGCAGCAGUGGGGAAUAUUGGGCAAUGGAGGAAACUCUGACGCAGCAACGCCGCGUGAAUGAUGAAGGUCUUCGGAUUGUAAAGUUCUUUUCUAAGGGAAGAAGACAGUGACGGUACCUUAGGAAUAAGCCUCGGCUAACUACGUGCCAGCCGCCGCGGUAAUACGUAGGAGGAAAGCGUUAUACGGAAUGACUGGGCGUAAAGGGUGCGAAGGUGGUUUGACAAGUUGGUAGCGUAACUCCGGGGCUCAACCUCGGCACUGCUACCAACACUGUCGGACUUGUGUGUAGGAGGGGCGAAUAGAAUUACUGGUGUAGCGGUGGAAUGCGUAGAGAUUAGGAGGAAGACCAGUGGCGAAGGCGAUUUGCUGGACAGUAACUGACACUGAGGCACGAAAGCGUGGGGAGCAAACAGGAUUAGAUACCCGAGUAGUC
rnacentral:rRNA from 1 species